GGACAUCAAGACGCCUCAGGCACAUU
rnacentral:miRNA from 1 species